UUUUAAAAAAAAAGUCUUAAUUCCCGAAACUAAGUGAGCUAAUAUUUUCUACUUAAAGAGAUAUAGUUUUUACUGUUGCAAUAGUAAGUACUUGAGGAAAUAUUAGGUGUAAAAUGCUAAUCGCACUUAGUUAUAGCUGGUUUUUCGAGAAAUUGGUCUUAGCCAAGGGUGAAGUCAUUAUUUCAUAAUCAAAUUUUUAAGGAUAACAAAAAAUAUUUAGAUAAUACUCAACUCCUUAGACAAAGAAGGACAAGCUUUUUUGUCAAGUAGGAAAAAACCUUUUUUAUUAAUUUAGGCUAAUAAAAGAAACGAAUGUGGUACUUUGAAACUUAUAAGUAGGAUUAAUAGCAUCCAUCUUUUUAGAAAGCGUUAAAGCUCUUUCGAUAAAAACACCCACAGAAUAAUCUUAUUAUUAUAAAGCCGAAAUUAUAAAACUCCUUAUCGGAAAAUUUCGCAUUUUAAAGAUAUCGAAAGAUAAGAUGCUUUAAUUAGUAAUGAUACUUGAUUUGCUGAGAAUUAAUCUUUAUAAUUAUAAUCCUAACUUUGGAUGGAAAAAUAAGGUGAAUACAAACGAGAAAAAAAAUUUAUUAAUUGUCUUCCAACUCAGGAAAUCAGAAAGGUAUAAAAUCAAAAGGAAGGAACUCGGCAAAUUUAGAUUUCGCCUGUUUACCAAAAACAUCGCUCUUUGGAAAACUCCUUGAUGUAUAAAGAGUUCUGCCUGCCCAGUGACAUUAGUUAAACGGCCGCGGUAUCUUGACCGUGCGAAGGUAGCAUAAUCAUUUGCCCUUUAAAUGGGGGCUGGUAUGAACGGCAAGACGGAAAUCUAGCUGUCUCCCUUUUAAUAUCUUGAAAUUAAUAUAUUUGUGAAGAAGCAAAUAUAAAGUCGUGGGACGAGAAGACCCUAUCGAGUUUUAGUAUAUAAUCCUAAACUAAAAAGUACUGGUCUUAAGCUGAUUUUUAACAAUAAAAGUAAAUUCACUCUAACUUAGUACGUGGUUUUUUUAGUAUAACUACUUUAAUUGGGGGCAAUUACGGAGA
rnacentral:rRNA from 1 species